UUAAAUUGGCUCUUAAACAAGUAUCUUUACUCAAAGAGAUAAAGGACGUAAUAACAUCCAUGGAAAAGAAUAGGUGAUUAUGGAAUGAGAGGAGGUGGUUAUCAAAGAGAAAACACAUAGAAAUUUUGGAAAUGAAGGCUGAAGAAGUAGAGGAAGACAUUAAAUCAUAGUUUAUGUGGGAAACAAAAUGCUGAGGUUAAAGAAGUAGCUCCUGGCAUUGGAGAAGAAGCAAAUGAGAGAAACAGAUCCUAAGCCUGCUGGGAGAUGGGCAAUGCAGGAUGGGAUUUAUCAUUUUCCUGGGGAAAAUGGCACAAGCUUGGAUGGUCACUCUUAUGGCUCAUUUGCCCCAGGGAGGCCCCAGACAUAUUCAGGAUCCAACAUGGACAGGCUUGGAGAAGAGAUUCUGCUCAUAGAAUCCCAGCAGGGUCAGGCCUGGGGAGGACCCAAAAACCAUCAAGUCCAGUGAGCUUUUUACUGCUUGGAGACUCUUAAUAUAUAAAAUCUCUUAAUUUUCCAGUUUAGCAAGGGAGGGUCCUGUUUGCUUGAUAAUGUCACCACCCCUCACCUGCCUCCCUCAGGGGAGGUACA
rnacentral:lncRNA from 10 species